rnacentral:rRNA from 1 species
GUCCACGCCGUAAACGAUGAGAACUAGCCGUUGGAUUCCUUAGAGGAUUUAGUGGCGCAGCUAACGCGAUAAGUUCUCCGCCUGGGGAGUACGGCCGCAAGGUUAAAACUCAAAUGAAUUGACGGGGCCCGCACAAGCGGUGGAGUAUGUGGUUUAAUUCGACGCAACGCGAAAAACCUUAACCAGGCCUUGACAUCCACGGAAUCCUGCAGAGAUGCGGGGGUGCCUUCGGGAACCGUGAGACAGGUGCUGCAUGGCUGUCGU